rnacentral:lncRNA from 1 species
CGGAAGUGAUUUUGGAAUUGCGUGGAAUUCUCACUGCAAUCCCAAAGAAAUACUGAUCUUGUCACUCUUACCUGUUCCGUUGCCUGGGGCAGAACAAAAGGAUGUACUUCAAAGAGCGACAUGAACCAAGAACUGGGUUUCAUAUGAAAUAUUUUAUUCUGUCCUCUUGAGAUGUGACAUGAAGAAAAGUGUUGAGAAUAUUUCUAUCACCUCAUCUUCAAGAAUCAGUAGGAAUUCUCCCAUGGUUCCAUGUGAUACUAGAGUUGCGUGGAUUUUUAAUCUUUACACCAAUGAAGAUCAGAGGUUAACAGUGCCCUUUUUUUAA